rnacentral:rRNA from 1 species
ACAGCAGUAGCCACGGUAAUACAGAGGGUGCGAGCGUUAAUCGGAUUUACUGGGCGUAAAGCGUGCGUAGGCGGCUUUUUAAGUCGGAUGUGAAAUCCCUGAGCUUAACUUAGGAAUUGCAUUCGAUACUGGGAAGCUAGAGUAUGGGAGAGGAUGGUAGAAUUCCAGGUGUAGCGGUGAAAUGCGUAGAGAUCUGGAGGAAUACCGAUGGCGAAGGCAGCCAUCUGGCCUAAUACUGACGCUGAGGUACAAAAGCAUGGGGAGCAAACAGGAUUAGAGACCCCCGUAGUCCCUGUCUCUUAUAC